rnacentral:tRNA from 1 species
GCCCAGGUGGCGAAACAGGUAGACGCACAGGACUUAAAAUCCUGGGGGAGUUGAUCCCGUACCGGUUCGAUUCCGGUCCUGGGCACCA